CCUACGGGCGGCAGCAGUCGAGAAUCAUUCACAAUGGGGGAAACCCUGAUGGGGCGACGCCGCGUGGGGGAAUGAAGGUCUGCGGAUUGUAAACCCCUGUCAUGUGGGAGCAAAUUAAAAAGAGAGUACCACAAGAGGAAGAGACGGCUAACGCUGUGCCAGCAGCCGCGGUAAUACAGAGGUCUCAAGCGUUGUUCGGAAUCACUGGGCGGAAAGCGUGCGGAGGCUGUUUCGUAAGUCGUGUGUGAAAGGCGCGGGCUCAACCCGCGGACGGCACAUGAUACUGCGAGACUAGAGUAAUGGAGGGCGAACCGGAAUUCUCGGUGUCGCCGUGACAUGCGUAGAUAUCGAGAG
rnacentral:rRNA from 1 species